AGUGAACGCUGGCGGUUGGCCUAACACAUGCAAGUCGAACGACAGAACAGUGAGCUUUCGCUCUUACGGGUGGCGGGUGGCGGGCGGGUGAGGAAUACAUCAGCAUCCACUUAUUCGUGGGGGAUAUCGUGGGAACAGUUCCGCUAAUACCGCAUACGUUCUACGGGUGUAAGCAAGUGUUCUUAGGACCUUGCGCGAUUGCAUGAGCCGGCGGCGGCUUAGCUAGUUGGCGGGGUAAAGGCUCACCAAGGCGACGAUGCGUAGCCGACCUGAGAGGGUGAUCGGCCACACUGGAACUGAGACACGGUCCAGACUCCUACGGGAGGCAGCAGUAGGGAAUAUUCCGCAAUGGGCGAAAGCCUGACGGAGCAAUGCCGCGUGAGUGAAGAAGGUCUUCGGAUCGUAAAACUCUGUUGUUAGGGAAGAAAAAAUGCGUAAGUAACUCCCCGUGUCUUGACGGUACCUAAACAGAAAGCCACGGCUAACUACGUG
rnacentral:rRNA from 1 species